GACGAACGCUGGCGGCGUGCUUAACACAUGCAAGUCGAAUGGAAAGGCCCUGCUUUUGUGGGGUGCUCGAGUGGCGAACGGGUGAGUAACACGUGAGUAACCUGCCCUUGACUUUGGGAUAACUUCAGGAAACUGGGGCUAAUACUGGAUAGGAGCUCCUGCUGCAUGGUGGGGGUUGGAAAGUUUCGGCGGUUGGGGAUGGACUCGCGGCUUAUCAGCUUGUUGGUGGGGUAGUGGCUUACCAAGGCUUUGACGGGUAGCCGGCCUGAGAGGGUGACCGGCCACAUUGGGACUGAGAUACGGCCCAGACUCCUACGGGAGGCAGCAGUGGGGAAUAUUGCACAAUGGGCGGAAGCCUGAUGCAGCAACGCCGCGUGCGGGAUGACGGCCUUCGGGUUGUAAACCGCUUUCGCCUGUGACGAAGCGUGAGUGACGGUAAUGGGUAAAGAAGCACCGGCUAACUACGUG
rnacentral:rRNA from 1 species